rnacentral:lncRNA from 1 species
CACGCUGCCUGCGUCAUACUCGAGUGAUCUGCUUCCAUCAGGGAUUUACAAAAUGUAGCAGAAAAGAGCAGAAAGCCACUAAAUCCUGACAUUUGCCCCUUAGCAUCAGACAUUUGCGCUGGCGUAGGACUUUUGUGUUUAUCUCCCAGCAGAGCUGCUGGCUGCAUUACCAAACAGUAACAUUAUCCACUCGGGCUUUCCAAAAAUAGUCCGGGUUGUGCUCAGCAGGAGGACAAUCGUGUUUUGGCCUCUGCUUUGGGCAGAGGCGAAGACUGAAGGAGGAAAUCUCCGAGGCUGUGCUGGCCCUGAUUUGCUGUCAGCAGCGCGAUGCCUGUUUGUCCGACCUCACCCCCUGUGCCAUGGCCAUGUUUUAUUCCAGGAGGAGGAUCUCUUGAAACGCUCCACGCAGCACGGAGGAACAGCAGAUGCCUUCCCUGGGGCAGCAGGAAAAACUGAAGUCAUAUGAGAGCAGACCAUGCAUUGCCUGGUUUUGAUCACUUGGCAUACUCCGAACCAAACUCCUCAAAGUAAAUAUUUCCUAUGAAGAUCAUUAAGGGUGCGACCAACAUGUAAGGAACAGCAACAGGAAAAUACUGCUUUAAACCUAAUACCACAUCAUGUUGCAUUCAUUAGUUGCUUGACAUUGUAGCUGGAACAGGAAAAAAUAAAAAGGCACGGAGCAGAAAGAUACUUCA